rnacentral:rRNA from 1 species
UACGGAGGGUGCGAGCGUUAAUCGGAAUUACUGGGCGUAAAGGGUGCGUAGGCGGCGCUGUAAGUUACUUGUGAAAUUCCUGGGCUCAACCUGGGGUGGACGGGUGAUACUGCGGUGCUAGAGUAUAGGAGAGGGCAGUGGAAUUUCCGGUGUAGCGGUGAAAUGCGUAGAUAUCGGAAGGAACACCGGUGGCGAAGGCGGCUGUCUGGCCUGAUACUGACGCUGAGGCACGAAAGCGUGGGGAGCGAACAGG